GGGUUGUGAGGUUAAGUGACUAAGCGUACACGGUGGAUGCCUAGGCAGUCAGAGGCGAUGAAGGGCGUGCUAAUCUGCGAAAAGCGUCGGUAAGGUGAUAUGAACCGUUAUAACCGGCGAUACCCGAAUGGGGAAACCCAGUGUGUUUCGACACACUAUCAUGUCAUGAAUACAUAGUGGCAUGAGGCGAACCGGGGGAACUGAAACAUCUAAGUACCCCGAGGAAAAGAAAUCAACCGAGAUUCCCCCAGUAGCGGCGAGCGAACGGGGAGGAGCCCAGAACCUGAAUCGGCUUGUGUGUUAGUGGAAGCGUCUGGAAAGUCGCGCAGUAAAGGGUGAUAGCCCCGUACACUAAAAUGCACAGGUCGUGAGUUCGAUGAGUAGGGCGGGACACGUGACAUCCUGUCUGAAUAUGGGGGGACCAUCCUCCAAGGCUAAAUACUCCUGACUGACCGAUAGUGAACCAGUACCGUGAGGGAAAGGCGAAAAGAACCCCGGCGAGGGGAGUGAAAUAGAACCUGAAACCGUGUACGUACAAGCAGUGGGAGCACCUUCGUGGUGUGACUGCGUACCUUUUGUAUAAUGGGUCAGCGACUUAUAUUUUGUAGCAAGGUUAACCGUAUAGGGGAGCCGUAGGGAAACCGAGUCUUAACUGGGCGACUAGUUGCAAGGUAUAGACCCGAAACCCGGUGAUCUAGCCAUGGGCAGGUUGAAGGUUGGGUAACACUAACUGGAGGACCGAACCGACUAAUGUUGAAAAAUUAGCGGAUGACUUGUGGCUGGGGGUGAAAGGCCAAUCAAACCGGGAGAUAGCUGGUUCUCCCCGAAAGCUAUUUAGGUAGCGCCUCGUGAACUCAUCUUCGGGGGUAGAGCACUGUUUCGGCUAGGGGGCCAUCCCGGCUUACCAAACCGAUGCAAACUCCGAAUACCGAAGAAUGUUAUCACGGGAGACACACGGCGGGUGCUAACGUCCGUCGUGAAGAGGGAAACAACCCAGACCGCCAGCUAAGGUCCCAAAGUCAUGGUUAAGUGGGAAACGAUGUGGGAAGGCAUAGACAGCCAGGAUGUUGGCUUAGAAGCAGCCAUCAUUUAAAGAAAGCGUAAUAGCUCACUGGUCGAGUCGGCCUGCGCGGAAGAUGUAACGGGGCUAAACCAUGCACCGAAGCUGCGGCAGCGACGCUUAGGCGUUGUUGGGUAGGGGAGCGUUCUGUAAGCCGUUGAAGGUGGCCUGUGAGGGUUGCUGGAGGUAUCAGAAGUGCGAAUGCUGACAUAAGUAACGAUAAAGCGGGUGAAAAGCCCGCUCGCCGGAAGACCAAGGGUUCCUGUCCAACGUUAAUCGGGGCAGGGUGAGUCGACCCCUAAGGCGAGGCUGAAAAGCGUAGUCGAUGGGAAACAGGUUAAUAUUCCUGUACUUGGUGUUACUGCGAAGGGGGGACGGAGAAGGCUAGGCUAGCCGGGCGACGGUUGUCCCGGUUUAAGCGUGUAGGGGGUGUGACCUGGUAAAUCCGGUUGCAUAUCAACCCUGAGGCGUGAUGACGAUGCACUACGGUGCAGAAGUAGUUGAUGCCCUGCUUCCAGGAAAAUCCUCUAAGCAUCAGGUAACAUUAAAUCGUACCCCAAACCGACACAGGUGGUCAGGUAGAGAAUACCAAGGCGCUUGAGAGAACUCGGGUGAAGGAACUAGGCAAAAUGGUGCCGUAACUUCGGGAGAAGGCACGCUGGCAUGUAGGUGAAGUCCCUUGCGGAUGGAGCUGAAGCCAGUCGAAGAUACCAGCUGGCUGCAACUGUUUAAUAAAAACACAGCACUGUGCAAACACGAAAGUGGACGUAUACGGUGUGACGCCUGCCCGGUGCUGGAAGGUUAAUUGAUGGGGUCAGCCGCAAGGCGAAGCUCUUGAUCGAAGCCCCAGUAAACGGCGGCCGUAACUAUAACGGUCCUAAGGUAGCGAAAUUCCUUGUCGGGUAAGUUCCGACCUGCACGAAUGGCGUAAUGAUGGCCAGGCUGUCUCCACCCGAGACUCAGUGAAAUUGAACUCGCUGUGAAGAUGCAGUGUACCCGCGGCAAGACGGAAAGACCCCGUGAACCUUUACUAUAGCUUGACACUGAACAUUGAGCCUUGAUGUGUAGGAUAGGUGGGAGGCUUUGAAGCGUGGACGCCAGUCUGCGUGGAGCCAUCCUUGAAAUACCACCCUUUAAUGUUUGAUGUUCUAACUCGGCCCCAUAAUCUGGGGUGAGGACAGUGUCUGGUGGGUAGUUUGACUGGGGCGGUCUCCUCCCAAAGAGUAACGGAGGAGCACGAAGGUUAGCUAAUCACGGUCGGACAUCGUGAGGUUAGUGCAAAGGCAUAAGCUAGCUUGACUGCGAGAGUGACGGCUCGAGCAGGUACGAAAGUAGGUCUUAGUGAUCCGGUGGUUCUGAAUGGAAGGGCCAUCGCUCAACGGAUAAAAGGUACUCCGGGGAUAACAGGCUGAUACCGCCCAAGAGUUCAUAUCGACGGCGGUGUUUGGCACCUCGAUGUCGGCUCAUCACAUCCUGGGGCUGAAGUAGGUCCCAAGGGUAUGGCUGUUCGCCAUUUAAAGUGGUACGCGAGCUGGGUUUAGAACGUCGUGAGACAGUUCGGUCCCUAUCUGCCGUGGGCGUUGGAAGAUUGAGAGGGGUUGCUCCUAGUACGAGAGGACCGGAGUGAACGCACCACUGGUGUUCGGGUUGUCAUGCCAAUGGCAUUGCCCGGUAGCUAAGUGCGGAAAAGAUAAGCGCUGAAAGCAUCUAAGCGCGAAACUUGCCUCAAGAUGAGUCUUCCCUGGGCCUUUAAGGCCCCUGAAGGAACGUUUAAGACUAAGACGUUGAUAGGCUGGGUGUGUAAGUGCAGCGAUGCAUUGAGCUAACCAGUACUAAUGAUCCGUGAGGCUUAACCUUACAACACCGAAGGUGUUU
rnacentral:rRNA from 1 species